rnacentral:rRNA from 1 species
AUUGAACGCUGGCGGCAGGCUUAACACAUGCAAGUCGAGCGGGGUGAUGGUGCUUGCACUAUCACUUAGCGGCGGACGGGUGAGUAAUGCUCAGGAAUCUGCCUAUUAGUGGGGACAACAUCUCGAAAGGGAUGCUAAUACCGCAUACGUCCUACGGGAGAAAGCAGGGGAUCACUUGUGACCUUGCGCUAAUAGAUGAGCCUAAGUCGGAUUAGCUAGUUGGUGGGGUAAAGGCCUACCAAGGCGACGAUCUGUAGCGGGUCUGAGAGGAUGAUCCGCCACACUGGGACUGAGACACGGCCCAGACUCCUACGGGAGGCAGCAGUGGGGAAUAUUGGACAAUGGGGGGAACCCUGAUCCAGCCAUGCCGCGUGUGUGAAGAAGGCCUUAUGGUUGUAAAGCACUUUAAGCGAGGAGGAGGCUCUUUUGGUUAAUACCCAAGAUGAGCGGACGUUACUCGCAGAAUAAGCACCGGCUAACUCUGUGCCAGCAGCCGCGGUAA